rnacentral:pre_miRNA from 1 species
AUUCACUUCGGCCCUUGAUAAAUCUGCCCCUUAGGGGUUUAUUUAUCAAAGGUCGAAUUUUAGGCGCAGAUUUAUCAAGGGUCGGAGUGAAAAUUC